rnacentral:rRNA from 1 species
UACAGAGGUCCCGAGCGUUGUUCGGAUUCACUGGGCGUAAAGGGUGCGUAGGUGGUGAGGUAAGUCGGAUGUGAAAUCUCCGGGCUCAACCCGGAAACUGCAUUGGAAACUACCUUGCUUGAGGGUUUGAGGGGGGACUGGAAUUCUCGGUGUAGCAGUGAAAUGCGUAGAUAUCGAGAGGAACGCCAGUGGCGAAGGCGAGUCCCUGGAAAACACCUGACACUGAGGCACGAAAGCUAGGGGAGCAAACAGG